rnacentral:rRNA from 1 species
CAGCAGCCGCGGUAAUACGUAGGUGGCAAGCGUUGUCCGGAAUUAUUGGGCGUAAAGGGCUCGCAGGCGGUUUCUUAAGUCUGAUGUGAAAGCCCCCGGCUCAACCGGGGAGGGUCACUGGAAACUGGGAAACUUGAGUGCAGAAGAGGAGAGUGGAAUUCCACGUGUAGCGGUGAAAUGCGUAGAGAUGUGGAGGAACACCAGUGGCGAAGGCGACUCUCUGGUCUGUAACUGACGCUGAGGAGCGAAAGCGUGGGGAGCGAACAGGAUUAGAUACCCCCGUAGUCCCUGUCUCUUAUAA